CUACGGGCUGCAGCAGUGGGGAAUAUUGCACAAUGGGCGCAAGCCUGAUGCAGCCAUGCCGCGUGUAUGAAGAAGGCCUUCGGGUUGUAAAGUACUUUCAGCGGGGAGGAAGGGAGUAAAGUUAAUACCUUUGCUCAUUGACGUUACCCGCAGAAGAAGCACCGGCUAACUCCGUGCCAGCAGCCGCGGUAUACGGAGGGUGCAAGCGUUAAUCGGACUUACUGGGCGUAAAGCGAGCAGGCGGUUUGUUAAGUCAGAUGUGAAAUCCCCGGGCUCAACCUGGGAACUGCAUCUGAUACAGGACAGCUGGCGUCCCGAAGAGGGGGGUAGAAUUCCAGGUGUAGCGGUGAAAUGCGUAGAGAUCUGGUGGAAUACCGGUGGCGAAGGCGGCCCCCUGGACGAAGACUGACACUCAGGUGCGAAAGCGUGGGGAGCAAACAGGAUUAGAUCCCCUCGUAGUC
rnacentral:rRNA from 1 species